UACAGGGGGUGCAAACGUUGCUCGGAAUUAUUGGGCGUAAAGCGCGCGUAGGCGGCUAUUUAAGUCGGAUGUGAAAGCCCUUGGCUCAACUGAGGAAGUGCACCCGAAACUGAAUGGCUUGAGUACCAAAGAGGGUCGCGGAAUUCCCGGUGUAGAGGUGAAAUUCGUAGAUAUCGGGAGGAACACCAGUGGCGAAGGCGGCCUCUGGACGGAUACUGACGCUGAGACGCGAAAGCGUGGGGAGCGAACGAGG
rnacentral:rRNA from 1 species